GAAAUAGCUUUAGGGCUAGCCUCAUAUUAGAUCCCCGGAGGUAAAGCACUGAAUGGCCUAGCGCCCGAGAGGGUAGCGAAGCCUAUCAAACUAAGAAUGCCGGAGUAUUGAUGUAUGGGAGUCAGACAGUGUGAGAUAAAUCUCAUUGUCAAAAGGGAAACAGCCCAGAUCUACAGCUAAGGUCCCAAAUUGUAUCUAAGUGGAAAACGAUGUGGAAAUACGCAGACAACCAGGAUGUUGGCUCAGAAGCAGCCACUCAUUUAAAGAGUGCGUAAUAGCUCACUGGUCGAGAGACCCUGCGCCGAAGAUUCCCGGGGCUAAAGUACGAAACCGAAGCUGUGGCUGUAUACGUAAAGUAUACGGGGUAGGGGAGCGUUCCCAUAGGGUAGAAGUCGAACUGGAAGGUUCGGUGGACUUGUGGGAAGUGAGAAUGUUGGUAUGAGUAGCGAAAAGAAAGGUGAGAAUCCUUUCCACCGAAAGCAUAAGGAUUCCUGAGCAACGAUCGUCGUCUCAGGGUAAGUCGGGACCUAAUCCGAGGCAGAGAGCGUAGGAGAUGGACAACUGGUUGAUAUUCCAGUACCGGUAGUAAUUGUUUGAGCAAUGGAGUGACACAGAAGGGCAGGCAAGCAUGCGAAUGGAAGAGCAUGUGUAAGCGUGUAGGGUGGUGCAUAGGCAAAUCCGUGCACUGAAAGCCUGAGGCGUGAUGCGGAGUGAGCAGAGAUGCGAGCGAAGUUGUUGACCCCACACUGUCGAGAAAAGCUUCUAGUGAGAGAGCUACCGCCCGUACCGUAAACCGACACAGGUAUGCGGGGAGAGAAUCCUAAGGUGCGCGGGAGAACCCUCGUUAAGGAACUCGGCAAAAUGUACCCGUAACUUCGGGAUAAGGGUAGCCACUGUUGUGAAGUCCCAUGCGGAUGGAGCAUAGAGUGGUCGCAGAGAAGAGGCCCAAGCGACUGUUUACCAUAAACACAGGUGCCUGCUAAAGCGAAAGCUGACGUAUAGGUGCUGACACCUGCCCAGUGCCGGAAGGUUAAGGAAGGAUGUUCGGAUUAGUCCAAAGCAUUCGACUGAAGCCCCGGUGAACGGCGGCCGUAACUAUAACGGUCCUAAGGUAGCGAAAUUCCUUGUCGGGUAAG
rnacentral:rRNA from 1 species